AAGGAAGUAACAUAAGGUUAAAUGUGUUUGGCUUGAAACCAAAGUAUGGGGGUUCGAUUCCCUCCUUUCUCG
rnacentral:tRNA from 1 species